rnacentral:rRNA from 1 species
AGCGAACGCUGGCGGCAGGCCUAACACAUGCAAGUCGAACGAACCUUUCGGGGUUAGUGGCGGACGGGUGAGUAACACGUGGGAACGUGCCUUUAGGUUCGGCAUAACUCAGGGAAACUUGUGCUAAUACCGAAUGUGCCCCUCGGGGGAAAGAUUAAUCGCCUUUAGAGCGGCCUGCGACUGAUUAGCUAGUUGGUUGAGGUAAUGGCUCACCAAGGCGACGAUCAGUAGCUGGUCUGAGAGGAUGAUCAGCCACAUUGGGACUGAGACACGGCCCAAACUCCUACGGGAGGCAGCAGUGGGGAAUCUUGCGCAAUGGGCGAAAGCCUGACGCAGCCAUGCCGCGUGAAUGAUGAAGGUCUUAGGAUUGUAAAAUUCUUUCACCGGGGACGAUAAUGACGGUACCCGGAGAAGAAGCCCCGGCUAACUUCGUG